rnacentral:rRNA from 1 species
GAUGAACGCUGGCGGCGUGCCUAAUACAUGCAAGUCGAGCGAAUGGAUUAAGAGCUUGCUCUUAUGAAGUUAGCGGCGGACGGGUGAGUAACACGUGGGUAACCUGCCCAUAAGACUGGGAUAACUCCGGGAAACCGGGGCUAAUACCGGAUAACAUUUUGAACCGCAUGGUUCGAAAUUGAAAGGCGGCUUCGGCUGUCACUUAUGGAUGGACCCGCGUCGCAUGAGCUAGUUGGUGAGGUAACGGCUCACCAAGGCAACGGUGCGUAGCCGACCUGAGAGGGUGAGCGGCCACACUGGGACUGAGACACGGCCCAGACUCCUACGGGAGGCAGCAGUAGGGAAUCUUCCGCAAUGGACGAAAGUCUGACGGAGCAACGCCGCUUGAGUGAUGAAGGCUUUCGGGUCGUAAAACUCUGUUGUUAGGGAAGAACAAGUGCUAGUUGAAUAAGCUGGCACCUUGACGGUACCUAACCAGAAAGCCACGGCUAACUACGUGCCAGCCGCCGCCGUAA